ACCUUUGCUCAUCUCGUUCCAAAAUCCAAGACCCCCCCAUGUCAUCAAUCAUGUUGUUCCACCCCACCCCACUACCCCACCCAUCUCCCUUCUCUCUCUCUCUCUCUCUCUCUCUCUCUCAUAUCGUUACCAAUCCUUCCUUAGCGUUUAUAAAGGUUUUUCUAUUCCCAUCACCAACCCUUUUUUCUUGUUUACAUGGGGUCGAUCACCAUCUCCCCCGUCUGUAGCCCCUAUUCCUCCUCCAAUUAGCUCCUUCUGAAUUGGGUCAAGCAUAUACAUCCACAUAUAUACAUGCCGAAUAUUUUUUGGUGUGCUGUUUGAUGCUAUUUCAUCAGGGUUUAUGUGGGUUUUUCAUUUAGAGGCACCAACCCUUUUCAGGUUAAAGGGUUGGAUCUCUUCUUCUCAAAUUAGCUCCUUCUGAAUUGAGUCACAUACAUAAAAACACAUACAUAUACUUACUUAUAUGUUGUUUUCAUUUCAAGGCACCUAUCUUGUCAGUUUAAAGGGUUCCAUCACUGCUCCUCGAAUUAGCUCCUGAAUUGGGUUACAUAUAUAUAUAUAUAUAUAUAUAUAUAUAUAUAUAUAUAUAUAUAUAUAGGGAUAUUUGCAUAUAUUUUCUCAGGGUUUAUGUGGGGUUUUUAUUUAAAGGCACCUUCUUUACUCAGGUUAAAGUGUUUGAUUAGUGCUCCUCAACUUUGCUCCAUGUGAAUUUGGUUAGCUAUAUAGGCAUAUAUAAAAACAUAUAGAUAUAUUCUGUAUAUAGUUGUUGGGAGUUGAUUUAAUGGCUUAUCAGCCGAACCCGGGAACUGGGUCAGGGUUGCAAUUCUUGAAUAACCCAUUUGGGGAUACUACAUACACCAAGGUAUUUGUGGGUGGGUUGGCGUGGGAGACUCAGAGCGAAACGCUGCGCCGUCACUUCGAGCAGUAUGGGGAGAUACUUGAGGCUGUUGUCAUCACCGACAAGCAUACCGGGCGAUCGAAAGGAUAUGGGUUUGUGACAUUUCACGAUCCUGAAUCUGCCAAGAAUGCUUGUUCAGACCCAAAUCCAGUUAUUGAUGGAAGGAGAGCAAAUUGUAAUUUAGCUUCACUUGGGCGGCCUCAGCCAUUGUUGCCUUAUGGACGUCUACGUCCGGCAAUGCCCUAUUUUGGUAUACCCCAGAUGCCUAGGAGUGCUUACGUUGGCAGCCCCCGUUUCCACCAACCAGUGCCUUUCAGCUAUCAGCCUGGGGUUGCAUAUCCUCCAUAUGGGUACACAACCUAUGGACCUGAAUAUGUUUACCCACAGGGUGUUUACAAUCCUUAUAUGGAUCAGCAUUACCUUCAGAUGUAUGGAGUACAAGGCACAGUCAACCCAAACAUCGCCCCGUAUGGCCAAAUGGGUCAAUCUCUCACUGGAAACCACGGGUAUGCAACGGUUCAGGGCUAUGUGACUCCAGGUCGGCAUGUUCUGCAAUAUGGGGGACCACGUGUCAGUGGAGUAUCAUCAGACACUAUUCCGACAAUUCAAGCACCAUACCAUACUGGAAUGCCUGCACCAGCUCCAGGACAAGCACGCAUUAUAUUUCCUGCUCAGUUCACACAGAGCAGUGGUUCUGAUCAAUCAGGAGGUUGAGUGGUAGACGGGAUUGAGAAAGAUCUUGAGGCAAUCCAUAAAUUGCAAGAGGACUAACACCAGCUGCUACUUGAGUGCCUGACUUCGGAUCUAGCCUUGCAAGUACUCAUUUUUGCAUUCAAGAGGUCAUCUGAGUCGUGGUCAUUCAAGGAUACAGUGGAGUUGCUUGUAAGAUAUCGAGUUGCUCUGAGCCGGGUGUGGGAAGCACUGAAGGGCUUGGAUUGCUCUUUCACAGACAGGCUUCGCCGGGAAUUGGGUCACCGGUGGAUUUUGAGUUCAUUGAUUACCGGAAUAUGGUUUCCGGCGAUCGUGCAACAGAGAAUCAACAUAUGAUUCUUGAGUUAGUCUUAGACCCAGGUUUCGGUUCUACACUUCAUUGUUAAAUUCUGUGUCAAACUUGUUCAUCAUUCCUUAUCAGCCAUUAGUCUUAGUUUCAAACUUGAACUAGUAGUAUUCAAAGUUAUCUGGAUUUUUUUAAUUAGUUAAAUAAAGAGAACUGUUAUGAUCUCAUAA